AGUGAACGCUGGCGGCAUGCUUUACACAUGCAAGUCGAACGGUAACAGGUUAGGCUGACGAGUGGCGAACGGGUGAGUAAUGCAUCGGAACGUGCCCGAUCGUGGGGGAUAACGCAGCGAAAGCUGCGCUAAUACCGCAUACGAUCUGAGGAUGAAAGCGGGGGACCGUAAGGCCUCGCGCGAUCGGAGCGGCCGAUGUCAGAUUAGGUAGUUGGUGGGGUAAAGGCUCACCAAGCCAACGAUCUGUAGCUGGUCUGAGAGGACGACCAGCCACACGGGGACUGAGACACGGCCCAGACUCCUACGGGAGGCAGCAGUGGGGAAUUUUGGACAAUGGGCGAAAGCCUGAUCCAGCAAUGCCGCGUGCAGGAAGAAGGCCUUCGGGUUGUAAACUGCUUUUGUACGGAGCGAAAAGGCUCUCUCUAAUACAGGGGGCUCAUGACGGUACCGUAAGAAUAAGCACCGGCUAACUACGUGCCAGCAGCCGCCGUAA
rnacentral:rRNA from 1 species